rnacentral:rRNA from 1 species
CCUACGGGAGGCAGCAGUGGGGAAUAUUGCACAAUGGGGGAAACCCUGAUGCAGCGCCGCCGCGUGAGUGAAGAAGUAAUUCGGUAUGUAAAGCUCUAUCAGCAGGGAAGAAAAUGACGGUACCUGAUUAAGAAGCCCCGGCUAACUACGUGCCAGCAGCCGCGGUAAUACGUAGGGGGCAAGCGUUAUCCGGAUUUACUGGGUGUAAAGGGAGCGUAAACGGCAGCACAAGUCUGGAGUGAAAGGCCGGGAGUUAACCCCGGAACUGCUUUGGAAAAUGUGCAGCUAGGGGGCAGGAGAGGUCAGUUGAAGUGCUAGUGUAGCGGUGAAAUGCGUCGAUGUUAGGAGGAACACCAGUGUCGAAAGCGGCUUACUGGACUGUAACUGACGUUGGGGCUCGAAAGCGUGGGGAGCAAACAGGAUUAGAUACCCUUGGAGUC